GUCAAGAAUAAAAAUUGAAACUUAAAAUAAAAAUAAAAGUUUAACAGAUGGAGGUGGCCAGACCCUAAGGAAGGAGUCAAAUGGGUCCCGAAACAUUGGGUUUAUUAAAUUCUAAUUAUUGUUUGAUGUUAUUAAAUCCACAAUUAGACCCCUGUGUUUACAAACCAGUUUUUCAAUCUUCUCCUUUGCAGGUCAUCACAAAAUGGUCUCAAAAGCUACAAGAAAACUAGGGACAUUUAGAUGGUGCUUUAAUUGGCAAAGUAAUAAUGAUGAUUACAGUGCUGCUGUCACAUCCUCUGGCCUGCACUAGCACUGGCAGAUCCCGAGGGGGACAUGCCGGCUGACAGUUUUGAGCAUGCAGUAAGCCCCCACCAUCUCGGCAUGCAUUGAUGCAAGCCCCUGGAGGCUGCCCUUGAUCCACCGAUGUGCACGUCUGCAGAAGCUCGCUAUUAGCACACUCAGACCUCAGAAAAGAUGCCUACGUGUGGUUCCUAAACAGGUGGCAGGUACGUUCUUCUCGUGAUGGAGUUCCCGAGCGGCCUGCGAGAAGGACGGAGCAGCAACACAAGCGGCGGCAGGCCGACCGCGAGUCGGCCGACCCCAAAUUGGUCGCACCUGCAGAUCGCUGUCAAGAUACGGCACGCGCUGCUGCGCAAACUAUGCAGUUGCUACCAGAGUACAAGACGCCCCCCCCCCCUCCCCCCCCGCACUGCCUUCCCGCUUUCCUCCCUUGUGCGCGAUUCCGCUCACCGUCGGACGCUCUCACUCGCACAUACAGCAUAUGGUGCACGAGGACGGUGUUAUCGCCCUUGGACUUUAUAUGGAACAUGGCGGCAACCACGACGGCAGAAAUGCACCUGGAGUGGUAAUAUACGGCACCCAUACGCUUGCGCGUGACCCCCGUUCACGGAGCGAAACAUCACUGUAAUUGUUUUUUUAAUCGCUUACCGAACGAACGGGUGCAUCUUAUAAACCGGUGCGACUUAUAUAUGUUUUUUCCUCCCGGAAAAACUGCCGUUUUGAGGGGGGUGCGUCUUAUACAAAGGUGCAACUUAUAGACGAGAAAAUACGGUACAUGAAAAUGAGGACAUAGAAUAUCAAUGCCGUCGGUGUGAUGUGCGAGGAAUUGAUAGCGAAGGCACAUUGAUGCAAGUGCCAGCCCUUUUAUAUUGACUUCGACAUGCAAUAAAAAUGCGUUAUUAGUCAGUUCUGUGUUUGUCGAUGCUCAUUUUCAUCCUGUUCUUUAUGGUGGGGUGACCUUUUUAUGCAAUCGCUUUCAGGUAUACAAUCACUUUCGCAAGAUUUAGGGUGACCUGGCACUGGACGUGGUGGCAUAUACAGCCACCAGCGUUCCUGACACUGUGCCAAGCUUGCUGUUCUUGCACAGUGUCAGAAAUGCUGCCAGAGUGCGCAUCAGCAUGUCCUGUGCUGUCUCCGUGUUUCAGAUUGAAACAAAUGACAGUCAAUACAAAUGUUACUCAUGCUGCUCUAUCGUCACAGCAUCGAGCGCUUAGCAUAUAUGCUAUUAACAGAGAUAUGGGGUUCAAGCAAAUAACAUUACUC